UAAUAUAUCUUAUUGUUUGGAUAAAUUUAAAUUUUAAAUUUCCCAAAUAUGUCUACUCGCGUUUAAGAAUCCUUCAGAAAAAAAAAACGCCAGUUAUUUGACUUGUAUGUAAAAACCGUUGAAUUUAUCAAAAUUUUCGUUGCAAAACCCAAAUUGAAAAUUUAAAAAAAAAUCAAGAAGAUAAUAAUAUCACUCGCACAAUGAUCACAACACGGAAUAGAACAUUUUUUAAGAUCGUCGAGAAUAAAAAUAUCAUAGUAUUGCAAUUGAAACACCGAAAACUAUUCAAGUGGAAUGCCAGUUCAAAACCGUCUCUUGUAGUGUUGUCAAAAAUGAGUACGGUCGAACAGAAAAAAUCGGUGAAGUCCGUCGUUUUGGAAGCAUACGGCGGGUACGAUAAAUUGAAAGUACAGGAUUGGCCGCUCGACGAAUUGGGCGAUAACGACGUACGUGUCCGCGUCGAGCUCUGCGGCAAUAACUUUAGCGACAUUUACACGAGACAAGGUUUUCUGCGACAACUGACGACGCCUCGCGUACUCGGCACAGAGUGCUUUGGUACGGUAGAGUCUAUUGGAAACGACGUGAAAAAUUUCCAAUGUGGAGAUCGGGUGGUAUGUUACGUUUGGACGGGCGGUCUGUUCAGGGAAACAGUCGUAGUGCCCGCUAUCAAUUGUUUUUCGGUGCCCGCCAGCGUAAGCGGCCGAGAUGCUGUCGCGCUACCAGCCAAUUAUUUGACCGCUUACAUGAGCAUCUUCACAAUGGGAAACUUACGACCCAGAGACACUAUACUCGUACAUUCAGCGGGCGGCGGUGUCGGAUGUGCAAUCGCUCAGCUAGCCAAAACCGUUGACAACGUGACGGUCGUCGGGACCGCUUCUGCUUUUAAGCACGAAAAAAUACGAGAAAUUGGAGUUCACCAUACGUUGUUGCAUGAAAACUACGUCGAACAAGCGAGAGCAGUCUGUCCCAAAGGAUUCGACUUAAUAGUAGACAGCAAAGGCGGUCCGAACAUUGAACUAAGUCAGAAACUACUGAAACCUUGCGGUCGACUAGUUAUUAUCGGUGCUAGUACUUACAUAAACGGUGACACGUUAAACACGUUGAAAGCGAUGUCGGUAAAGUGGCGUACAAAAAGUAUCGAUCCUGAAAAAAUUAUCCAAAGAAACAUUUGCGUUUCAGGACUUCAUUUAGGCGAACUAUUCGAUUCCGACGCUAACAAAAUACACGACGUCAUGCACAAAUUGUUUGACAUGAUCGAAAACGGCCAGAUCAAACCAGUUAUUUUCGAUACUGUUCACUUUGACCGCGUUGUUGAAGCGCAACAAAUUCUAGCAGAAAGAAAAAACAUCGGUAAAGUUUUAUUGACGUUGAGUCAAACAUGAACGACGGACAAGUGAUCGAGGCAACGAGCACAUUAUACGUUUAACGUUUGGUUAAGCUGAAUAGCGUUUUAAAAGGAUCUGUGCAGGGUGUAGACGAUGUUGUUGCCUCUUUAUUAUCCAAGUGUGGUUUGCUAGGAUUAUAGGACUAUAGUACACAAUUUCCAAAAAACAUACAUUAAACAACUUGAGAUUGACUCAACUGACCGCAUGUGUAUCUUAAACAUUGAUGUUAAAAAGCGAUACAGCACAGAUGAUGUCGAAUCACUUGAAGAACAGUUAAGACUCGGACGUCCACGAGUUCCACUCACAUCCUAACCUAAUGAUAGAAAAAAACACUGGCGGCAUCUGUAUUCUGUUCAUUACACGAUACGUUAAAAUGUAUCUUAUUAUUAUUACUCUAUAUACAUUAUAAAAUCUGAAAU